UCCGUAGGUGGAUAAUUAAGUCAGAGGUGAAAUCCUGCAGCUCAACUGUAGAAUUGCCUUUGAUACUGGUUAUCUUGAGUCAUUAUGAAGUGGUUAGAAUGUGUAGUGUAGCGGUGAAAUGCAUAGAUAUUACACAGAAUACCGAUUGCGAAGGCAGAUCACUAAUAAUGUACUGACACUGAGGGACGAAAGCGUGGGGGGCGAACAGGAUUAGAUACCCUGGUAGUCC
rnacentral:rRNA from 1 species